GGAAACAGUUUGCAAGGGGUCGUUAAAGAAGAUUAAGCCGGUAACAAAAUAUCGUUUUUAGCUACAUUAAGUUUACCUUUGAAGGCUCCAGUUUUGAUUACUGAGCAUACAAAUCUUCAAUUCAGACCAUGGUGACAAAAUAAAAAGUGUACACGGACGUUUUCGAGGAGAUUUUAAGCUUUCUCUGUCGGUUGUUGGUGUUCAGGAAUUAGCAAGCUAGUUAGCACUAGCCUAGAAAUACUAGCCAGCCUAGCUUGCUAACGUUAGCUUCCAAUAGUCUGAUUAUCAACUGAGAUGUUUGCAGCAUUUCUCGGAUGUCUACGGACGGCAGAUUGCUGAACCAGAGGGCCUCAAAUGGGAAAAACAAGCAUCGGACAGGAAUAUCGGGGAUAAGCUUGUCGACGUAACUCAGAUUCUGUUGAAGGGGACACGGAAACCGUGCACGGGCGGAUCAGGAAUCCGUAAGACAAAGGCCUGACCUCUGAAAUUGAGGGUCCAUUUCAGGCGAACUUGUACACGACAGGAACUGUGAUGAGAUCCAACCUACAUUGAAUUCUCUGCUGCAGGAAUAAGGUGAAUUACAGAAGGUGAUUCACUCAAUACAACCAGGAGACUGGGUGUGGAUCCAGUCCCUGAGGAGAAAAGACUGGAAGCAGUCCCGUUGGGAAGGGCCAUACCAGGUUUUGUUGGUAACCGCUUUUGCCGUUAGAAUAGCUGAGAGAGCCGCUUGGCGUUACCCACUACAAAAAGAGUUGGGAAGCAUGGCGUUGGAAUCUGCUGUGACCCAGCAGAUGGUGAGGUAUGAGCCCAUACCUGACUCAGACCAGUGGGAUGAACGCUACAUGCCUCCUGGAAUGCUGGACGAUGAUGACCAAUUUGACCCCGAUGAUCCACAAUUUAAAACUUUUCUUAGUUCUAACGUGUGAAGGUUAUAGUGAAAAUCUCAAAAGGAAGAGUUAUAACUGGAAGUAGAAAUAAAACUAUACCCAGGUGAGGUGAAAUAGACGUUGUACAUUUAUGGGUGAUUUCUUUUAAUAAACAAAUGUUGUAUCAAGAUGUAAUAUUUAGUCAAAAGGUGGAUUGAUAGAAUUUGGAUGUUUAAGAUAAUGACUAAAGUAUUUCACCCUGAAACCAUAUAAUUGUAUGAAAUGUGUUAGUCAUAAUCCAAUAAUGUGUGACUAGACUUUUUAAGACUAUGCUAUUUUGUUACUAUUUGAAGUGUUCACUUGUGAUGAUAACAGUGAAACUAAUAACUGAAAUGAGGCCUCCCCACCCUUGGGAGGAGAAAAACAGUUAGAAAUGGCUAGUCUAGGGCCUCCCAGGUGGCGCAGUGGUUAAGGGCGCUGUACUGCAGCGCCAGCUGUGCCACCAGAGACUCUGGGUUCGCGCCCAGGCUCUGUCAUAACCGGCCUCGACACACAAUUGGCCUAGCGUCGUCCGGGUUAGGGAGUGUUUGGCCGGUAGGGAUAUCCUUGUCUCAUUACGCACCAGUGACUCCUGUGGUGGGCCGGGCACAGUGCGCGCUAACCUAGGUUGCCAGGUACACGGUGUUUCCUCCGACACAUUGGUGCGGCUGGCUUCCGGGUUGGAUGCGUGCUGUGUUAAGAAGCAGUGCGGCUUGGUUGGGUUGUGUAUCGGAGGACGCAUGACUUUCAACCUUCGUCUCUCCCGAGCCCGUACGGGAGUUGUAGCGAUGAGACAAGAUAGUAGCUACUAAACAAUUGGGGAGAAAAAGGGGGUAAAAUUCAAAAUAAUAAUAAUUUUAAAAAAUGGCUAGGCUUGCAGAAGAUGAGGAAACAUGUUGCCGAAGUGUGACAAACAAUGUAUGUGAAUUGUGGAAUAAUUCAGCCCACCUAAAGAGGUGGAGUUUCUACUGUUAAUUUGUGUGUGCAAUAAAAAUAUUGUGUUCUCAUUUUGAAAACGGA
ensembl:lncRNA